rnacentral:lncRNA from 11 species
GGAAAGUUCACGAGACACAGAGCCCUGCCUUUUCCUUUGACGUAGGGAAGGAAGGGAGAGAAACCUCCUUGGAAUGGCCAACAUUGGGAGUGUGUGUUCUAAAGAGGAACCGCUGCCCCUCAGCUGGACCCGAAGGCUGGCUUGAGGUGGGAAUUGGACACUUUCCCCCCUUUUUUUCCCGAAAGUGCCGCCGUUGAGCCCUGGACGCUGUGGGGUUCUCCUCUGGCCUCCCUGGGCGCGCGCUCUCUUGCCCCGCUCUCCUCGUCGCCCACUCCUCUCCCCUUUUCCCUGAAAAACCAGGGGCGUCAAGGGACCCUAAAAAGCGCCUCGCUCCGCGGCCGGCCAUCAAGUGGCUCGUUGGGGAAAUGCAGGUGAGUGCGGCGGCGGCGGCGGGAGGGGAAAAAAAAAAAAGCGCGGCUCCAGCUGCUGUAACAGGGGUAGAAAGCGGCGACGAGGAGAUCUCAAUGAGAGAGAUUGAGAGAGAGAGAAAAAGAGAGAGAGAGCGCGCGCGAACGGGGGAGCUUUGUGUUGGCGCGCGGGCAGGCAGGCAAGCAAGCAAGCAAUCCCUUCGUGGCCUUUGUGGAAUAGGAGCACUGUUCUUCUUCUUCUUCUUGUGACCGGGGGAAAGAAGACUCCUUAAGAUUUCCGGAGAGGUCCGAGCUGGCUGCUUCAGUAAGUCGAUUUUGUUUGGUUUGCUGCUUUAUUGUGGACCCUUGCUGCUUGUGGUUGGCUGCUUUCCUGCCUUUUUC